rnacentral:rRNA from 1 species
ACCCUACGGGGGGCAGCAGUGGGGAAUAUUGCACAAUGGGGGAAACCCUGAUGCAGCGACGCCGCGUGAGUGAAGAAGUAAUUCGUUACGUAAAGCUCUAUCAGCAGGGAAGAAAUACUGACCUUACGGUCAGCAGACGGUACCUGACUAAGAAGCCCCGGCUAACUACGUGCCAGCAGCCGCGGUAAUACGUAGGGGGCAAGCGUUAUCCGGAUUUACUGGGUGUAAAGGGAGCGUAGGUGGCAUGGUAAGCCAGAAGUGAAAACCCGGGGCUCAACCCCGCGGAUUGCUUUUGGAACUAUCAG